rnacentral:rRNA from 1 species
AGCCCUAAGUGGGUGGUAAACUCCAUCUAAGGCUAAAUAUGACCACGAGACCGAUAGCGAACAAGUACCGUGAGGGAAAGUUGAAAAGCACUUUGAAGAGAGAGUUCAAGAGUACGUGAAACCGUUUAGGGGUAAACCUGAGAAACCCGAAAGGUCGAAGGGAGAAAUUCAUUCGCGUUUCGCUGUAGGCGUGAGACGGUUGAGUGACGGAAAGCGUUCGCGCGUUUCCGCGCCUUCCGUUUUGCGAUCCGGCGGCGAACGCGUGCACUUUUCUUCUGGUAGGACGUCGCGAUCCGUUGAGCGUCGGUCUACGGCUCGCGGUGGAGCCCGAACGUACGGCUUGCCGUUAUGUUCGGACCCGCGUGUCCCGGCCGACCCGCUCGACGGUAUACGAAAGGUUAAAGGCCGCUCUCGGAGCGUUCGGCUCGUUGCAAGCGCGUCAGUUGCGUUGGCGAUCGGACCCGGUGCCGAUUCCGACCUCUGGCGACUGUUGGCCGCGAAGUUCUCGAACAGACCUUAGACCGAUCUGCGACGCUAUAGCUUUGGGUACUUUCAG